CAUAAGUAGAAAUACCUUUCUCUUAGGGUAACUGUGAGGUGUGAAAGCAUUAAGAAACAUAAAGUGUUGGUAAUGGUGCCUGGUCCAUGGCUAGUUUCUUGAUGACAGAGACAGUUGCAUCUCCAGGAUCAAAGGCAGUUUCAGGAACACGAGCACAUCCAUUCAAGACAUGUUACUGAAAAAACAAAGAUGUCUUCUAAUUCAAGACUCUCAGGAACUACCUCUCUAAACAAUCCCUUGGCUGAUGAGAGAUAAA